UAUCAAUAAAGGUGGCAUUAAGAAGUACAAAAUAGAAUUUUUAUUUCUCCAGCAGACGCUGUUGAGCACUUACUACUGAUAAGGCAAUGUACCUGGUAGACACUCUGGAGGGAGAAUAAGAGGAAACCAUAGAAGGACCUCCUGAGUAGGAGAGCUAAACCGUGUGUACAAGGAAUCACAUCUGCGUUUAUUGGAAUCUGCUAUGUGACAGGCAUGUUAUUGCUUCCAACUUUAAAAAAGACCUCACAGGGGCAGAACUCCUGCUGCCAGAGAAAGGACCCUUCACUGAAAGAGCUGGAUGAGGCAUCAGCAAGAGGCUUUCAAUCCAGACAAGUAAGGAGGAAGGCAGUGGACCAACCUCAUUCUUCAAACAAUACUUCCACUCAGGUGGCAGGACUCCAGGGGGAAGCUUCUUUGGACAGGGAGGUGAGUGAACACAUCCACUUCUGUCUCCUGGGGGCCGUAUUGUUGAGUCCUAGCGACUGCUAACAUCAGUUACCUCAUCACUACUUAGGAGCACCUUUGAAAACAGGGAUUACUGGCUUUGGAAAAACCUAGUCAGUUUCUUUAUCUGCUGUUGAUGGAAAAGAUUAAUAUCAAAAUGAAGAUUGAAAGAUUUGGAGCACUUUCAUGAUUAUAUAACUGCUUCUAGGCAUGGGAUGCAGAUGUUGUGCCCAUUUUAGAUAAACUGCAAAACUGUGGAAAGCUGUAGCUGGAAAGAUCUUCAAGAUUUUGACCCUCGGUCUGCAUCAUCACUGAGAUGGAUGUUGUGAAGGGACCCAAACUACCUUCCUCAGUACAACCAUUAGGUUCUUUCUGGCAAAUGUCUUUAGUUUUUAAUAUUCGAAACUGGUGAGAUUUAUAUGCUACUGCUUGCAACUUCCUAGUAGAUUAUGGAAGCAAGUUUCAGACCAAAUGUCCUGGUACAUAUUCACAUUUAAUCACAAGCAGACCUCAAAAUGACCAGAUCUGAUCUUUGAGAUCCUCUGACCAUUGUUAAGGAAAAAAUUAUCCAUGACGCUUGUUAAAACAGUAAGGCAGACCUUAUUCAGGAUUACUGAGAGAGGUAUAGGGACUAAUGCAGUAGGGUUUCACUGUAAAAGGGAGAGAUUGGGCUCAACUUCUCUAAUACAACAAGGAAAGGUAGGAAUUUAUAGGUAAGGAACAGUGUGUGUUGGAGGGGCUGGAGUGCUGGUGGAUAGAAAAUUACUAAGAGCAACCAUCAAGGGUUGGGGGGUGGUUCUGGCGAAAUCAGCCUGGUGGGAUUCUUAGUGAAGGCUGGCCAGAAGGAAACGGUGGAGGAUGAAGAAUCUAAUUCGAUAUGGAGAGUGAUCAAAUGUGGAGGUUGGGAGGUUCUCAAAAUCAGACUUAGCAAGAUUCUUGCUAAAAUUGGGCUCUUAAGGACAUGACCAAGGUUAGAAAAAGAGCUCAGAGGUACCCAACUAGUUUGGUCAAGAAGAG
rnacentral:lncRNA from 1 species